GGAUCAGGUAGGAAGACCCGCUGAACUUAAGCAUAUCAAUAAGCGGAGGAAAAGAAACCAACAGGGAUUGCCCCAGUAACGGCGAGUGAAGCGGCAACAGCUCAAAUUUGAAAUCUGGCCUCGGCCCGAGUUGUAAUUUGCAGAGGAAGCUUUAGGCGCGGCCCCAACUGAGUCCCCUGGAACGGGGCGCCACAGAGGGUGAGAGCCCCGUAUAGUUGGACGCCUAGCCUGUGUAAAGCUCCUUCGACGAGUCGAGUAGUUUGGGAAUGCUGCUCAAAAUGGGAGGUAAAUUUCUUCUAAAGCUAAAUACCGGCCAGAGACCGAUAGCGCACAAGUAGAGUGAUCGAAAGAUGAAAAGCACUUUGAAAAGAGGGUUAAAUAGCACGUGAAAUUGUUGAAAGGGAAGCGCUUGUGACCAGACUUGCGCCGGGCUGAUCAUCCGGUGUUCUCACCGGUGCACUCUGCCCGGCUCAGGCCAGCAUCGGUUCUCGCGGGGGGACAAAGGCUCCGGGAACGUAGCUCCUCCGGGAGUGUUAUAGCCCGGGGCGCAAUGCCCCCGCGGGGACCGAGGACCGCGCUCUGCAAGGAUGCUGGCGUAAUGGUCAUCAGCGACCCGUCUUGAAACACGGACCAAGGAGUCAAGGUUUUGCGCGAGUGUUUGGGUGUAAAACCCGCACGCGUAAUGAAAGUGAACGUAGGUGAGAGCUUCGGCGCAUCAUCGACCGAUCCUGAUGUUCUCGGAUGGAUUUGAGUAGGAGCGUUAAGCCUUGGACCCGAAAGAUGGUGAACUAUGCUUGGAUAGGGUGAAGCCAGAGGAAACUCUGGUGGAGGCUCGCAGCGGUUCUGACGUGCAAAUCGAUCGUCAAAUCUGAGCAUGGGGGCGAAAGACUAAUCGAACCAUCUAGUAGCUGGUUACCGCCGAAGU
rnacentral:rRNA from 1 species